UCCGGGGUAGUUGCUGUUGGUAGUGACGCCUGGCUCUGAACCAGGAGCUCGUUGGUUCGAUUCCAACUCCCGGAAC
rnacentral:tRNA from 1 species